rnacentral:sRNA from 1 species
GUUUAACUACCGCGUAGUCGGUUACUAUUUUUAUUCGUUUUCAUUUUCAUUUUCUUUUUCUUUUCCUUGCCUUUCCUUUCCUUUUCUUUUUGACGCGAGCGAGCGAGCGGGCGGGUGGGGGAAAGGGGGACAAACAAAAAGCCAGACAACUCCUUUUUAAUUUCUUAAAUUACCCGCCGCUAUGCCAGCUAGCUCGAUCAUUGAAUACAAUGGAAAUAUCUCCUCCAUUCACCAGUCAGCAGCAUCAGGUCGCUAGACGUGAGUUGCCCUCGGGGAGGAGAGGGGGAAGGCGUGGGGGAAGUUGGAACGAUAGAUUAGCCCAGAGACUCCCUCCCUAGCUGAUAACUAGAAAAGGGACAUGGGACAAGGAUGGAUGGUUGGGGAUAUUGGAUGGUUAUUUUUACUUCUAUUUCUAUUUUCCUGAUAUUAUCACCUUCUUCAUUUGGAUUUUAGUGAUUUGACCUUUUCUUUUUCUUGUUUUGGAUGUUCCUACUUACUUAACUAGCUUGCGCACUUCAUUUAACUACGCAGUCGCUUGCCGUUGCUGGAGAUGACGCUCAUUCAUUGGCGGUAUCACAGAUACUAGUAGUUAUUCUCUAUAUACUCUCAUCAGUGAAAUGGUGCUGAUCAAACCGGACUCAGUUAUUUGGUCAAAUUGAUGUAUGUAGGAUCGAUCAUAAAGGGAAUUCGCAACGGAAAAAAGAUUGAAAAUAAAUUGCCCCCCCAAAUAAAUUUUAAAGGAAAAGGCCAACG